rnacentral:rRNA from 1 species
UACAGAGGUCUCGAGCGUUAAUCGGAUUCACUGGGCGUAAAGGGCGCGUAGGCGGGCCAGCUUGUCCGGGGUGAAAUCUUUCGGCUUAACCGGAAAAGGGCUUCGGAAACGGCUGGUCUGGAGGGAGGUAGGGGCAGGUGGAACUUCCGGUGGAGCGGUGAAAUGCGUUGAUAUCGGAAGGAACGCCGGUGGCGAAAGCGGCCUGCUGGACCUCUUCUGACGCUGAGGCGCGAAAGCCAGGGGAGCAAACGGG